rnacentral:rRNA from 1 species
UACGUAGGUGACAAGCGUUGUCCGGAUUUACUGGGCGUAAAGAGCGCGCAGGCGGUCAAUCAAGUCGAGUGUGAAAGCCCCCGGCUCAACUGGGGAGGGUCAUUCGAUACUGAUCGACUCGGAGGCAGGAGAGGGUAGUGGAAUUCCCGGUGUAGUGGUGAAAUGCGUAGAUAUCGGGAGGAACACCAGUGGCGAAGGCGACUACCUGGCCUGUUCUUGACGCUGAGGCGCGAAAGCUAGGGGAGCAAACGGG